UACAGAGGUCUCAAGCGUUGUUCGGAUUCAUUGGGCGUAAAGGGUGCGUAGGCGGCGCGGUAAGUCGGGUGUGAAAUCUUGGAGCUUAACUCCGAAAACUGCAUUCGAUACUGCCGUGCUUUGAGGACUGGAGAGGAGACUGGAAUUUACGGUGUAGCGGUGAAAAUGCGUAGAUAUCGUAAGGAAGACCAGUGGCGAAGGCGGGUCUCUGGACAGU
rnacentral:rRNA from 1 species